UACAGAGGUCCCAAGCGUUGUUCGGAUUCACUGGGCGUAAAGGGUGCGCAGGUGGUUUGGCAAGUUUGACGUGAAAGCCCCGGGCUUAACCCGGGAAUGGCGUUGAAAACUGCUUGAACUGGAGGUUGGAGGGGGGACUGGAAUUCUUGGUGUAGCAGUGAAAUGCGUAGAUAUCAAGAGGAACACCAGUGGCGAAGGCGAGUCCCUGGACAAACCCUGACACUGAGGCACGAAAGCCAAGGGAGCAAACAGG
rnacentral:rRNA from 1 species